rnacentral:rRNA from 1 species
UACGGAGGGGACUAGCGUUGUUCGGAAUUACUGGGCGUAAAGCGCACGUAGGCGGAUUGUUAAGUCAGGGGUGAAAUCCCGAGGCUCAACCUCGGAACUGCCUUUGAUACUGGCAAUCUCGAGUCCGGAAGAGGUGAGUGGAAUUCCUAGUGUAGAGGUGAAAUUCGUAGAUAUUAGGAAGAACACCAGUGGCGGAGGCGGCUCACUGGUCCGGUACUGACGCUGAGGUGCGAAAGCGUGGGGAGCAAACAGG